CUAGGCCUCUCCAGUUUUCAACCGCAUCUUCAUCUGUUGGAUGGAUGUUUGUGACAUUGUCAGAUUUCCCAGAACAGGAAGCAUCCAUUUCUGGUUUCCCAUCUACACUGCAAGUUGUGAACAAAUUCGCAUGUUGCCUUCAAUGAAGGACAGAUGUCGAGCAAUGAAUCGAUCCACCCGAAUAGGCAAGUUUUCAUGCUUGAAAAGUCCAUGUUUUAUGUUUUUGAACUCUGCUUCAACAUUGGCUGAACUUGCGGUGAUGUUGGUGCUUCGAAAGUGAGGGAUCAUUACCCCUGUCCAGAGUGGUCUGUCUGUGUUUGGUCACAUGGAUCCACUUCCAGGUCAUCACCCACUACAUCUGGA